rnacentral:rRNA from 1 species
CGAAGGUCUGAUGGAGCAACGCCGCGUGAGUGAAGAAGGUUUUCGGAUCGUAAAACUCUGUUGUUGGAGAAGAACGUAUUUGAUAGUAACUGAUCAGGUAGUGACGGUAUCCAACCAGAAAGCCACGGCUAACUACGUGCCAGCAGCCGCGGUAAUACGUAGGUGGCAAGCGUUGUCCGGAUUUAUUGGGCGUAAAGCGAGCGCAGGCGGUUUCUUAAGUCUGAUGUGAAAGCCUUCGGCUCAACCGAAGAAGUGCAUCGGAAACUGGGAAACUUGAGUGCAGAAGAGGACAGUGGAACUCCAUGUGUAGCGGUGAAAUGCGUAGAUAUAUGGAAGAACACCAGUGGCGAAGGCGGCUGUCUGGUCUGUAACUGACGCUGAGGCUCGAAAGCAUGGGUAGCAAACAGGAUUAGAUACCCUGGUAGUCCAUGCCGUAAACGAUGAGUGCUAGGUGUUGGAGGGUUUCCGCCCUUCAGUGCCGCAGCUAACGCAUUAAGCACUCCGCCUGGGGAGUACGACCGCAAGGUUGAAACUCAAAGGAA